UCAACUGGACCGCCUUUCCAAUCCUUGCAGUUCGAGCGGACAGAAGGGAAGCUUGCUCCCGGAUGUUAGCGGCGGACGGGUGAGUAACACGUGGGUAACCUGCCUGUAAGACUGGGAUAACUCCGGGAAACCGGAGCUAAUACCGGAUAGUUCCUUGAACCGCAUGGUUCAAGGAUGAAAGACGGUUUCGGCUGUCACUUACAGAUGGACCCGCGGCGCAUUAGCUAGUUGGUGGGGUAAUGGCUCACCAAGGCGACGAUGCGUAGCCGACCUGAGAGGGUGAUCGGCCACACUGGGACUGAGACACGGCCCAGACUCCUACGGGAGGCAGCAGUAGGGAAUCUUCCGCAAUGGACGAAAGUCUGACGGAGCAACGCCGCGUGAGUGAUGAAGGUUUUCGGAUCGUAAAGCUCUGUUGUUAGGGAAGAACAAGUGCGAGAGUAACUGCUCGCACCUUGACGGUACCUAACCAGAAAGCCACGGCUAACUACGUGCCAGCAGCCGCGGUAAUACGUAGGUGGCAAGCGUUGUCCGGAAUUAUUGGGCGUAAAGGGCUCGCAGGCGGUUUCUUAAGUCUGAUGUGAAAGCCCCCGGCUCACCCGGGGAGGGUCAUUGGAAACUGGGAAACUUGAGUGCAGAAGAGGAGAGUGGAAUUCCACGUGUAGCGGUGAAAUGCGUAAAGAUGUGGAGGAACACCAGUGGCGAAGGCGACUCUCUGGUCUGUAACUGACGCUGAGGAGCGAAAGCGUGGGGAGCGAACAGGAUUAGAUACCCUGGUAGUCCACGCCGUAAACGAUGAGUGCUAAGUGUUUAGGGGGGUUUCCGCCCCCUUAUUGCUGCAGCUAACGCAUUAAGCACUCCGCCCGGCGGAGUACGGUCGCAAGACUGAAACUCACAGGAAUUGACAGGGGGCCCGCACAAGCAGUUGGACCAUGUGGUUUUAUUUCGAAUCAACGCGGAAGAACCUUUACAAGUUCUGGACAUCCUUCUGACAACCCCUAGAACAUAGGGGCUUUUCGCUUUCGGCGCACAGAAGUGAACAGGGUGGUUGCCAUGGC
rnacentral:rRNA from 1 species